AGCGAACGCUGGCGGCAGGCCUAACACAUGCAAGUCGAACGAACUCUUCGGAGUUAGUGGCGGACGGGUGAGUAACACGUGGGAACGUGCCUUUUGGUUCGGAAUAACUCAGGGAAACUUGUGCUAAUACCGAAUGUGCCCUUCGGGGGAAAGAUUUAUCGCCAUUAGAGCGGCCCGCGUCUGAUUAGCUAGUUGGUGAGGUAACGGCUCACCAAGGCGACGAUCAGUAGCUGGUCUGAGAGGAUGACCAGCCACACUGGGACUGAGACACGGCCCAGGCUCCUACGGGAGGCAGCAGUGGGGAAUCUUGCGCAAUGGGCGAAAGCCUGACGCAGCCAUGCCGCGUGAAUGAUGAAGGUCUUAGGAUUGUAAAAUUCUUUCACCGGGGACGAUAAUGACGGUACCCGGAGAAGAAGCCCCGGCUAACUUAGUG
rnacentral:rRNA from 1 species